rnacentral:rRNA from 1 species
GACGAACGCUGGCGGCGCGCCUAAAACAUGCAAGUCGAACGAGAAGCCCGGGCUUGCCCGGGUGGACAGUGGCGAACGGGUGAGUAACACGUGAGGAACCUGCCCCGAAGACCGGGACAACACCGGGAAACCGGUGCUAAUACCGGAUGCCUUCACCGGAUCGCAUGGUCUGGUGAAGAAAUGGAUUCCGCUUCGGGAUGGCCUCGCGGCCUAUCAGCUAGUUGGUGAGGUAACGGCUCACCAAGGCGACGACGGGUAGCUGGUCUGAGAGGAUGUCCAGCCACACUGGGACUGAGACACGGCCCAGACUCCUACGGGAGGCAGCAGUUAGGAAUCUUGCACAAUGGGCGCAAGCCUGAUGCAGCGACGCCGCGUGGGGGAUGAAGGCCUUCGGGUUGUAAACUCCUUUCGCCAUUGACGAAGCCCUUUGGGGUGACGGUAGGUGGAGAAGAAGCACCGGCUAACUACGUGCCAGCCGCCGCAGUAAAAC